AUGUCAUUGAUGAUUGUUCUUGACUUGAUUUUUGUUGUGAAUGAUCUGAUCUUUGUCGUGAUUGACGCAGAUAGUAAUUAUAAACAGUGUGAGAUGCUUGUUGUAGCACACUGCCCCGUGAUUGUAGCUGUGAGAAUUCUAUUCACUAUUAAGCAUGUGGUUGGUUUUGGUAGAUUCGUCUUGAUCAAUUUUGAAAUAGACAAGCAAAAUUAG